AUUGAACGCUGGCGGCAUGCCUUACACAUGCAAGUCGAACGGUAACGCGGGGCAACCUGGCGACGAGUGGCGAACGGGUGAGUAAUAUAUCGGAACGUGCCCAAUAGUGGGGGAUAGCCCGGCGAAAAGCCGGAUUAAUACCGCAUACGACCUGAGGGUGAAAGCGGGGGAUCGCAAGACCUCGCGCUAUUGGAGCGGCCGAUAUCAGAUUAGGUAGUUGGUGGGGUAAAGGCCUACCAAGCCUACGAUCUGUAGCUGGUCUGAGAGGACGACCAGCCACACUGGGACUGAGACACGGCCCAGACUCCUACGGGAGGCAGCAGUGGGGAAUUUUGGACAAUGGGCGCAAGCCUGAUCCAGCCAUGCCGCGUGCGGGAAGAAGGCCUUC
rnacentral:rRNA from 1 species